rnacentral:rRNA from 1 species
UACGGGGGGGGCAAGCGUUGUUCGGAAUUACUGGGCGUAAAGGGCCAGUAGGCGGCCAACUAAGUCGGAUGUGAAAUCCCCAGGCUUAACCUGGGAACUGCAUCCGAUACUGGAUGGCUUGAAUUCGGGAGAGGGAUGCAGAAUUCCAGGUGUAGCGGUGAAAUGCGUAGAUAUCGUAAGGAAGACCAGUGGCGAAGGCGGGUCUCUGGACAGUUCCUGACGCUGAGGCACGAAGGCCAGGGGAGCAAACGGG